UACGUAGGGUGCAAGCGUUGUCCGGAAUUAUUGGGCGUAAAGAGCUCGUAGGCGGUUUGUUGCGUCGGCUGUGAAAUCCCGAGGCUCAACCUCGGGUCUGCAGUCGAUACGAGCAAACUAGAGUGUUGCAGGGGAGACUGGAAUUCCUGGUGUAGCGGUGAAAUGCGCAGAUAUCAGGAGGAACACCCGUGGCGAAAGCGGCUCUCUGGAACCGACACUGACGCUGAGACACGAAAGCGUGGGUAGCAAACAGG
rnacentral:rRNA from 1 species